AGGAGAAAGAAAUAAUAAUCCCUUGGGAUUGAGAUUCCAACACUAUGCUGGUAAAGUCACCACCUUAGCCAAAAUCUCCAAGCAUCGAGGAAGGCAUGUUUAACAACACAGGUGAAUACCAACUGUGUGCACGCGUGUGUAUAUAUAUAGUGUAGUUUUGGAAAAGUAAUUCCUUGUUCCAAACAUGAAAUUCAUUCAUUUAAAAUAAAGUUUAUAUAUAGGAUUAAGAGACCAAACAUGAGAAUUUAUUUUUAAAUGAAAGGAAUUUUAUGUUUAUUUGUUUUAAACUUAUUAGGUUAUAAAGUGGCUUGUCUUGAAGUGUGAUAUGUUCAAAGAAAUUUUGCUGAGUAAACAUCGAAUGUGCCAAGAGAUAACACUAAUGAAACUAUUAGCAUGUGAUUACUAAUUUACUAUGACAUUAAGUGAAAAUUGGUGUAUGCAGAAGGUAAAUUAAACUUGCUGAAAGUGCUUUUUUGUGAAUCUUUUGACCCUUAGGUCAGAACGAGGGAGGGAAAGAAAAGGAAGGAAAGAAACCUAAAAAUAGACCCUGGAGGAUAUAAACUACAUUCCCCCUUCCCAUCACAUUAAAGUGUUCGUUCUCACUUGUACUUUUGUGUGGCCUUGAAACAUUGACAGGAGGAUUGAGUCAUUUUUAUGGCUUGCCAUACACUUCCUCUCUCUUCUAAAUAAAUAUUUGUUUUGUAUUGUUUGCUAUUUUUAUGUAUUAUAUUCAUGUGAACUAUUAUCAUUUGUGUACCUGCACUCUAUGUGUGGGUACGAUAUGCCAUACAGUGAUGUUUGAGAUGCUACAUUCCUACGUUUCUGCAAGAACUGUAUUGUGUCUGCAACAACAUUAUCAUUGUGCACAUGCAUACUUGUAUUGUUUAUUACAUUGGGAGCCUAUACUCUUAUAUUUUUUCAAUUGUCUCCAGAUUGAUAGAAGUGGAAAGAUA
rnacentral:misc_RNA from 1 species